rnacentral:rRNA from 1 species
AUUAGUUAGUUGGUGGGGUAAAGGCCUACCAAGACUAUGAUGUGUAGCCGGGCUGAGAGGUUGAACGGCCAUAUUGGGACUGAGACACGGCCCAAACUCCUACGGGAGGCAGCAGUAGGGAAUUUUCGGCAAUGGAGGAAACUCUGACCGAGCAACGCCGCGUGAACGAUGAAGUAUUUCGGUACGUAAAGUUCUUUUAUUAGGGAAGAAUAAAUGAUGGAAAAAUCAUUCUGACGGUACCUAAUGAAUAAGCCCCGGCUAACUAUGUGCCAGCAGCCGCGGUAAUACAUAGGGGGCAAGCGUUAUCCGGAAUUAUUGGGCGUAAAGGGUGCGUAGGCGGUUAAAUAAGUUUAUGGUCUAAGUGCAAUGCUCAACAUUGUGAUGCUAUAAAAACUGUUUAGCUAGAGUAAGAUAGAGGCAAGUGGAAUUCCAUGUGUAGUGGUAAAAUGCGUAAAUAUAUGGAGGAACACCAGUAGCGAAGGCGGCUUGCUGGGUCUUUACUGACGCUGGGGCACGAAAGCGUGGGGAGCAAACAGGAUUAGAUACCCUGGUAGUCCACGCCGUAAGCGAUGAGUACUAAACGUUGGGUAAAACCAGUGUUGAAGUUAACACAUUAAGUACUCCGCCUGAGUAGUACGUACGCAAGUAUGAAACUCAAAGGAAUUGACGGGACUCCGCACAAGCGGUGGAUCAUGUUGUUUAAUUCGAAGGUACCCGAAAAACCUCACCAGGUCUUGACAUGCUUCUGCAAAGCUGUAGAAACACAGUGGAGGUUAUCAGUUGCACAGGUGGUGCAUGGUUGUCGUCAGCUCGUGUCGUGAGAUGUUGGGUUAAGUCCCGCAACGAGCGCAACCCUUAUUGUUAGUUACCAGCACGUAAUGGUGGGGACUUUAGCAAGACUGCCAGUGAUAAAUUGGAGGAAGGUGGGGACGACGUCAAAUCAUCAUGCCCCUUAUGACCUGGGCUACAAACGUGGUACAAUGGCUGUUACAAAGGGUAGCUGAAGCGCAAGUUUUUGGCGAAUCUCAAAAAAACAGUCUCAGUUCGGAUUGAAGUCUGCAACUCGACUUCAUGAAGUUGGAAUCGCUAGUAAUCGCGAAUCAGCAUGUCGCGGUGAAUACGUUCUCGGGGUUUGUACACA